UACGUAGGGGGCUAGCGUUGUCCGGAUUUAUUGGGCGUAAAGAGCGUGUAGGCGGCCAGAUAGGUCUGCUGUGAAAACUCGAGGCUCAACCUCGAGAUGUCGGCGGAAACCAUUUGGCUAGAGUCCGGAAGAGGAAAGUGGAAUUCCUGGUGUAGCGGUGAAAUGCGCAGAUAUCAGGAAGAACACCUAUGGCGAAAGCAGCUCUCUGGGACGGUACUGACGCUGAGACGCGAAAGCGUGGGGAGCGAACAGG
rnacentral:rRNA from 1 species